AUUGAACGCUGGCGGCAGGCCUAACACAUGCAAGUCGAGCGGAUGAAGGGAGCUUGCUCCUGGAUUCAGCGGCGGACGGGUGAGUAAUGCCUAGGAAUCUGCCUGGUAGUGGGGGAUAACGUCCGGAAACGGGCGCUAAUACCGCAUACGUCCUGAGGGAGAAAGUGAGGGAUCUUCGGACCUCACGCUAUCAGAUGAGCCUAGGUCGGAUUAGCUAGUUGGUGGGGUAAAGGCCUACCAAGGCGACGAUCCGUAACUGGUCUGAGAAGAUGAUCAGUCACACUGGAACUGAGACACGGUCCAGACUCCUACGGGAGGCAGCAGUGGGGAAUAUUGGACAAUGGGCGAAAGCCUGAUCCAGCCAUGCCGCGUGUGUGAAGAAGGUCUUCGGAUUGUAAAGCACUUUAAGUUGGGAGGAAGGGCAGUAAGUUAAUACCUUGCUGUUUUGACGUUACCAACAGAAUAAGCACCGGCUAACUUCGUG
rnacentral:rRNA from 1 species